rnacentral:rRNA from 1 species
AGCAGUGGGGAAUAUUGGACAAUGGGCGCAAGCCUGAUCCAGCAAUGCCGCGUGUGUGAAGAAGGCCUGCGGGUUGUAAAGCGCUUUUAUCAGGGAAGAAACGGCCUGGGUUAAUACCCCAUGGCAAUUGACGGUACCUGAAGAAUAAGCACCGGCUAACUCCGUGCCAGCAGCCGCGGUAAUACGGAGGGUGCAAGCGUUAAUCGGAAUUACUGGGCGUAAAGCGUGCGCAGGCGGCUGAUUAAGUCGGAUGUGAAAGCCCCGGGCUCAACCUGGGAAUUGCAUUCGAUACUGGUCAGCUAGAGUCUGGUAGAGGUAAGCGGAAUUCCGGGUGUAGCGGUGAAAUGCGUAGAUAUCCGGAGGAACAUCAGUGGCGAAGGCGGCUUACUGGACCAAGACUGACGCUCAUGUACGAAAGCGUGGGUAGCAAACAGGAUUGGAUACCCUGGUAGUCCACGCCCUAAACUAUGUCAACUAGCCGUUGGGUCCCCUUAAUAGGACUUAGUGGCGAAGCUAACGCGUUAAGUUGACCGCCUGGGGAGUACGGCCGCAAGGUUGAAACUUAAAGGAAUUGACGG